CGCCUCCUAAAGAGUAACGGAGGCGCUCAAAGGUUCUCUCAGCACGGUCGGAAAUCGUGCGAAGAGUGUAAAGGCAGAAGAGAGCUUGAUUGCAAGACAUACAGGUCGAGCAAGGACGAAAGUCGGACUUAGUGAUCCGGUGGUACCGCAUGGAAGGGCCAUCGCUCAACGGAUAAAAGCUACCCUGGGGAUAACAGGCUUAUCUCCCCCAAGAGUCCACAUCGACGGGGAGGUUUGGCACCUCGAUGUCGGCUCAUCACAUCCUGGGGCUGUAGUAGGUCCCAAGGGUUGGGCUGUUCGCCCAUUAAAGUGGUACGCGAGCUGGGUUCAGAACGUCGUGAGACAGUUCGGUCCCUAUCCGUCGCAGGCGUAGGAAAUUUGAGGAGACCUGUCCUUAGUACGAGAGGACCGGGAUGGACGCACCUCUGGUGUACCAGUUGUUCUGCCAAGGGCAUAGCUGGGUAGCUACGUGCGGAAAGGAUAAGCGCUGAAAGCAUCUAAGCGCGAAGCCUACUUCAAGAUAAGAUUUCCCACCGUAAGG
rnacentral:rRNA from 1 species